UGCAGGGCUCUCCUUUUCCUUGUCACAGGUGUUUCUACUUCACGUGGGGUUUUAAACUUGUUUUUUUUCCUCACAACUCUUGUUCCCGCUCACUCCUCAAGGACAGAUCUCAAACAACAGCCGGAUAGGGAUCACUGCACGUGCUCCUCAUGUGGACUAUCAACUGUAAUAAUCUCCUGGCUUGAGAGAUGUGCUCAGUCCGUCUGAAGAUGACCACAAAGUGGGGGAAAGCUGUUGCUGUUGCUCAGCCACCAAAUCAGGCCUCCAGCUGUUUGUUCACAGGCCUCAGAAAGAGAACUUGUGGCAAUAGGUGACUAUUUAAAGCACAAAUGUCUCAAAUGGCACAUGUUUCUUUCAUCAUGCAUUCAUUGUUGUAUAUACGGCAUUCUACAAUUCACAUACCCUCCAACUAACAUAUCAGGUGGAAGUUAAUUAAUUUGCAUGAACACAUUCUGAAAAUAAUAUACAGCCUCUGAAACACACUGUCAACAUGUUUAUGGUAAUAGUAUCCCUCUUUGAAGAGCUACAUCUGGCUGCUUUGGUGCAAAGUUACAUCAUCUGUUUAUCUAUAAAGAAAAUUAUAAUAUGGUUAUAUCACAAGAACCACACUUGAUGUCAAUUACUGGUUCACAUCUUCAGGAGUUUCUUCAGAGAGCCGCAUGUAUUGUGUAAUUACUGGAAAGAUAUGUAGAAUUUCAUAUCUACAGGUUCAAGAGUUUCUAGUGUGAAUGUAUAAAUCUCAUUACCUUCGAAUUGAAAAUAUAAUAUAAAUAUAAAUAAAUAUAAGUAUUUGUA